rnacentral:misc_RNA from 1 species
UCUCCGUUGGUGAACCAGCGGAGGGAUCAUUACCGAGUGCAAACUCAUAACCCUUUGUGAACCUAUAUCUGUUGCUUUGGCGGCUCGCUCUCGGGCGAGCCCGCCGGUAAUAUCAGUAUCUCUGUUUGAACCCGACGAUACUUCUGAGUGUUCUUAGCGAACAGUUAAAACUUUUAACAACGGAUCUCUUGGCUCUA